UUUGGUGUAGCUCAGUGGUAGAGUGCAUGCUUUAAAUGUAUGAUGUCCUGGGUUCAAUCCCUAGUUUCUUCU